ACCGGGGUUGCGGACAGUGUCUGGUGGGUAGUUUGACUGGGGCGGUCUCCUCCCAAAGCGUAACGGAGGAGCACGAAGGUUAGCUAAUCCUGGUCGGACAUCAGGAGGUUAGUGCAAUGGCAUAAGCUAGCUUGACUGCGAGCGUGACGGCGCGAGCAGGUGCGAAAGCAGGUCAUAGUGAUCCGGUGGUUCUGAAUGGAAGGGCCAUCGCUCAACGGAUAAAAGGUACUCCGGGGAUAACAGGCUGAUACCGCCCAAGAGUUCAUAUCGACGGCGGUGUUUGGCACCUCGAUGUCGGCUCAUCACAUCCUGGGGCUGAAGUAGGUCCCAAGGGUAUGGCUGUUCGCCAUUUAAAGUGGUACGCGAGCUGGGUUUAGAACGUCGUGAGACAGUUCGGUCCCUAUCUGCCGUGGGCGCUGGAGAAUUGAGGGGGG
rnacentral:rRNA from 1 species